CAUUCAUAAGGAAUAUGAAGUCUUUGAGUGUCUUAGUAUUGAGAUAUAACAAUAUUUCUGAUUCAAUUCUAUCCAAUAUUGGUGAAUUUCUAAAAUUGAUCCAACUGGAUCUGAGCUUCAAUAACAUCAUAGGAUAGAUUCUGGGAUCACUUUUCGUUCUGAGUUCACUAACACACUUGUUUCUUGGAAAUAAUAAACUUAGUGGCAUAAUCCCUACUUAGAUAAGCCCAACACUUCUUAACAUAGACUUGUCCUACAACAAUCUAUCAGGGAGCCUCCCUCUUGGGUAAACCAAAAAAAUUUACAACUAUAAAUAACUUGG